GCAAUGGUGGUUCAGUGGUAGAAUUCUUGCCUUUCAUGUGGGAGACCUGGGUUCAAUCCCAAGGCCAUGCA
rnacentral:tRNA from 1 species